rnacentral:rRNA from 1 species
AACGAACGCUGGCGGCAUGCCUAACACAUGCAAGUCGAGCGCCGUAGCAAUACGGAGCGGCGCACGGGUGAGUAACGCGUGGGAACCUGCCCAGAGGUUCGGGACAACCGCGGGAAACUGCGGCUGAUACCGGAUGAUACCUGAGGGUCAAAGAUUUAUCGCCUUUGGAGGGGCCCGCGUCAGAUUAGGUAGUUGGUGGGGUAACGGCCUACCAAGCCUGUGAUCUGUAGCUGGUCUGAGAGGAUGACCAGCCACACUGGGACUGAGACACGGCCCAGACUCCUACGGGAGGCAGCAGUGGGGAGUAUUGGACAAUGGGGGCAACCCUGAUCCAGCAAUGCCGCGUGGGUGAUGAAGGCCUUCGGGUUGUAAAGCCCUUUCGGCGGGGACGAUGAUGACGGUACCCGCAGAAGAAGCCCCGGCUAACUUCGUGCCAGCAGCCGCCGUAA